ACAUCUCCUAGCUCAGUAAAAACAAAGUACAAAGUAAAUCUUUUGGCUAGGUUUAAGCAUAAAGUGAAAAAGAGAGACAAACAGAGAAUGAAUUUAUAAAAAACAGAAUACAGAAAAGAUGUACACAAUCCGGCCUGCAUUUCCCUAGACGGAUUCCAAGACACACAUGAGAAUGGUUCGUCACAUAAGCAUAGGACAGAAUUUUCUUGAAGCUUGCGCUUAAAGUUGUUACCCGAAUGAUUCCUUAUACAAACAAUGCGUAACAGGGGAUAAUCCUCCGCAUGCGGCGUUAUAAUAAAGCACACGCGCUGCGAGAAUCGAGAGUCAAGUCGGCGGAAAGAAAUGGGACUGUAAACACCACGGAUACGUUAUAUUAUUAUCACUCAUACGCAGUGUUAGCGGCAAAGGAGUCCUCAAUUUGGAAUGUUUGCCUUGUGUGCUUUUGCAGAGGAGUUCACAACUUUUUUUUGACAGUGUAGCCGUGGCCGUUGUUCGUCUGAGAUCCAAUUC